rnacentral:rRNA from 1 species
UACGGAGGAUGCGAGUGUUAUCCGGAAUCACUGGGCGUAAAGCGUCUGUAGGUUGUUUGCUAAGUCUGCUGUUAAAGCUUGAAGCUCAACUUCAAAAAUGCAGCGGAAACUAGUAGACUUGAGUGUGGUAGGGGUAGAGGGAAUUUCCAGUGAAGUGGUGAAAUGACGUAGAUAAUUGGAAAGAACACCAACGGCGAAAGCACUCUGCUGGGCCGACACUGACACUGAGAGACGAAAGCUAGGGGAGCGAAUGGG